UUGUGCCAUUAACCUAAACUUCAAUAUCUCUGUUUGGAAAAUGCUUGCCUUGUUUAUUGGGUAGUUGCUGCACGCGUGAUGUGCUCGUUCAAGUGCUCAAAUGGGUUCCUCCCCGUUGAAGUGCCCCAGGAGGUGGGUAUUUGUCGUGAAUGUGUGCGUGGAGCUCAUUUGAGUUUCCAAAUGGGGCAUGCAAUCCCCUGUUUCAGCUCUUGAUGCUGGAAGCAUGGGCAGAGGCUUGGUGGGGAUUUUCAUUUCAGGGCUUUUGGUGGCUGUGAGUCCUAUUGAGUCUCACGACCCCACCACUCAUGGUUACUCAUCUAGGGGUUUUGAAGGAGUUGAACUUGAACUCAAUGUCACAUUCUCCAAACUCCAGAGACGUGCUUUCCGACCUUUGACUGAGAUGAUCCAAUCUCUAGAUGUACGACAUAGGGAAAUGUCAGCCUUUGCAAUGGGGAGAUUGGCCCAAAUUAAUGUUUUUUCAUUUCUUGGUUGGUCUUGUUCAAACCCCUCUACAUCAAAUAACUAGUCAUGUGUGUUAAAAAUAUUGUUAAUAAUGCAGGCCCUCACUUAGGCACCGUUUGAUAAUGUUUUUA